UUGAGUGUAUUAAUCAGUGGUGAAAUGUUUUCAAACAUAAGGGAGGAGUUUCACGUGCCAUGAUGUGCAGCUUUGAGGGCCAUGUGUUAGUAUGACAGAAAGAGACAGUUAAGUCAGGAUAAUGUUGGGAUAAUGAUGUAUAUCACUUGGCGGAAGAAUUGCUAUUCUGACAACUAUUGAUAGUAAAGAAGAAAGGUCAUACGCAUUAGGAAUUACAUAAAGGUUUCCACAGGAAUCACACUUUGGAAUAUCUUCAGAGAAUAUCUUAUCUGUGGGUGGAAAACAUGGAAUAUGAACAUGGACACAGCCAGAUAGUCAACAUCCCAUUCAGAACAGAAGUGUUCAGUACUUUUCAUCCAGUCCAUAGAGUACUCCUUCCGACAGAGGAAGCUCACACAGUGAGAUGUGUGAAAUGUGCCAUGGGCUUCAAUCAGGUCCUCUCCCUCCAGACCUGCAACUCUCUCUAAUGUAUCGAUAUUCUAAAAUAAAGACAAAGCAAAGAAGACAUGAAUGAACAAGCAACAUUUUCACAAGUAACCGGGGUAUGGUAUCACAAGCUAUUAUGUUCUUGAGUUCUUACUCAAGUCUGAAUGUAAAGCUCACAUUAGGGGCUAAAUAAUUAAUUUGUAACUAAUUUGUGACUUAAUUUGUUUGCACCAUCUGUUUGCUCUUAACCCAACAGUCAACUAUUUGGUUGUAAGCUCUCUGUAAAGUAAUGUGUAAUUGCUUAAAGAUUGUCUGCAUUAUCAUAUGUUCAAAGAUUUGUUAAGCAAAACAAAAGCUCAUUCAGUUGCGAAGUUAUGGUUAGUAAAGACCCAGAAUACCCAGAAUAUAACAGACAAUGGUCACACGUUAUAUUAGGUGGCCUUAACUACUAUGUACUAACAUUAAAUACAUACAAGUUUAUGUAUUUACUGCAUAACUACAUGUUGUUCUUUAAAAUUCCCACAUUUGCUGCUACUGAGGUUGAGGUACAGGAAAGUUUAGGAGUAAGGGUAGGUUUAGGAUUAGAGGUUAGUGUUAGGUUUUGGGGUAAGGGAUGAGUUAGGGGUAAAGUUAACAGUGUAACUACAAAUGUAAUUAAAUGCAAGUACUUAAAAUGUCAUUACAAUGAACAACAUGUAUGUGCAUAAUAGGUACAUUGUAUCAAAUGGUUAAAUACACAGUAGUUAAGGCCACCUAAUAUAAAGUGGGUCCCAGACUAUAACUGUCUGACUUCAUAUCUAAAUUAAUAAUAAUAAAAAAAUUUAAACUGC